GACGAACGCUGGCGGCGUGCUUAACACAUGCAAGUCGAACGGAAAGGCCCUGCUUUUGUGGGGUGCUCGAGUGGCGAACGGGUGAGUAACACGUGAGUAACCUGCCCUUGACUUUGGGAUAACUUCAGGAAACUGGGGCUAAUACCGGAUAGGAGCUCCUGCUGCAUGGUGGGGGUUGGAAAGUUUCGGCGGUUGGGGAUGGACUCGCGGCUUAUCAGCUUGUUGGUGGGGUAGUGGCUUACCAAGGCUUUGACGGGUAGCCGGCCUCAGAGGGUGACCGGGCACAUUGGGACUGAGAGACGGACCAGACGCCAACGGGAGGCAGCAGGGGGGAAUAUUGCACAAUGGGCGGACGCCUGAUGCAGCAGCGCCGCGUGCGGGAUGACGGCCUUCUGGUUGAAAACAGCUUUCGCCUGUGACGAAGCGUGAGUGACGGUAAUGGGUAAAGAAGCACCGGCUAACUACGUG
rnacentral:rRNA from 1 species